UUGGAAGUAAAAGUCGUAACAAGGUCUCCGUUGGUGAACCAGCG
rnacentral:rRNA from 1 species